rnacentral:rRNA from 1 species
GCUUGUCUCAAAGAUUAAGCCAUGCAUGUCUAAGUAUAAAUGGUAUACAGUGAAACUGCGAAUGGCUCAUUAAAACAGUUAUAGUUUAUUUGGUAUUCGAAUUUACAUGGAUAACCGUGGUAAUUCUAGAGCUAAUACAUGCAUUACGCCUGACUUUUCGGAAGGGCAGUAUUUAUUAGAUGGAAACCAAUGCGGGGCAACCCGGAAUAUGGUGAUUCAUAAUAACUUUCGGAUCGUUUACGAUGCAUCAUUCAAGUUUCUGCCCUAUCAGCUUUGGAUGGUAGGGUAUUGGCCUACCAUGGCUUUAACGGGUAACGGAGAAUUAGGGUUCGAUUCCGGAGAGGGAGCCUGAGAAAUGGCUACCACAUCCAAGGAAGGCAGCAGG